rnacentral:hammerhead_ribozyme from 1 species
AUCCAGCUGAUGAGUCUUAAAUAGGACUAAGUGACACGCGUCCUGGAU